rnacentral:rRNA from 1 species
UACGGAGGGUGCAAGCGUUAUCCGGAUUCACUGGGUUUAAAGGGUGCGUAGGUGGGUUGAUAAGUCAGUGGUGAAAUCCCCGAGCUUAACUUGGGAACUGCCAUUGAUACUAUUGAUCUUGAAUACCGUGGAGGUCAGCGGAAUAUGUCAUGUAGCGGUGAAAUGCUUAGAUAUCGUCAAGAACACCGAUAGUGAAGACAGCUAACUAAACUUUUACUGACGCUGAGGCACGAAAAGUGUGGGGAUCAAACAGG